UACGAAGGGGGCUAGCGUUGCUCGGAAUUACUGGGCGUAAAGGGCGCGUAGGCGGAUAGUUUAGUCAGAGGUGAAAGCCCAGGGCUCAACCUUGGAAUGCCUUUGAUACUGGCUGUCUUGAGUACGGGAGAGGUGAGUGGAACUCCGAGUGUAGAGGUGAAAUUCGUAGAUAUUCGGAAGAACACCAGUGGCGAAGGCGACUCACUGGCCCGUUACUGACGCUGAGGCGCGAAAGCGUGGGGAGCAAACCAGG
rnacentral:rRNA from 1 species